UUCCGGUUGAUCCUGCCGGAGGCCAUUGCUCUUGGGGUCCGAUUUAGCCAUGCUAGUCGCUCGGGCUUAGACCCGUGUUGAACAGCUCAGUACCACGUGGCCAAGCUGCCCUAUGGACCUGGACAACCUCGGGAAACUGAGGCUAAUCCCGGAUAUGACUCGCAUCCUGGAGUGGAGCGAGUCACAAAUGCUCCGGCGCCGUAGGAUGUGGCUGCGGUCGAUUAGGUAGACGGGGGGGUAACGGCCCACCGUGCCCAUAAUCGGUACGAGGCAUGAGAGUGCAAGCCCGGAGGCCAUAUCUGAGACAAGAUACCAGGCCUUACGGGGCGCAGCAGGCGCGAAACCUUUACCCUGCGCGAGAGCNCGAUAAGGGGACGCCAAGUGCGAGGGCAUAUAGUCCUGGCUGUUCUGGACUGUAGGGAGGUUCAGAACAAAGGGCUGGGCAGGACCGGUUCCAGCCGCCGCGGUAAUACCGGUAGCCCAAGUGAUGGCCGAUUUUA
rnacentral:rRNA from 1 species